rnacentral:rRNA from 1 species
GAUGAACGCUAGCUAUAGGCUUAACACAUGCAAGUCGAGGGGAAACGGCAUUAUGUGCUUGCACAUUUUGGACGUCGACCGGCGCACGGGUGAGUAUCGCGUAUCCAACCUGCCCUUUACUUGGGGAUACCCCGUUGAAAGACGGCCUAAUACCCGAUGUAAUUCAUUGAUGGCAUCAGAUAUGAAUAAAAGUUUUAUCGGUAAAGGAUGGGGAUGCGUCUGAUUAGCUUGUUGGUGAGGUAACGGCUCACCAAGGCGACGAUCAGUAGGGGGUCGGAGGGGAAGGUCCCCCAGAUUGGAGCUGAGACACGGUCCAAAAUGCUACGGGAGGCAGCAGUAAGGAAUAUUGGUCAAUGGGCGCAAGCCUGAACCAGCCAAGUAGCGUGCAGGAAGACGGCCCUAUGGGUUGUAAACUGCUUUUAUACGAGAAUAAUUUGAUGCACGUGUGCGUUAUUGAAUGUAUCGUAUGAAUAAGGACCGGCUAAUUCCGUG